GCAGCCCAGAGUCUCCAGAGAUGUGGUUGAAGGAGGAUCAGUACAUGUUUGGCUGGAUCUGACCAACCGACAAAUUGCCCUGAUGCUGCAGAAAAAACUUCAUGAGGCCUUUGAGGCUUUUAUCGAGACAAAGCUGGGGAGUUUGUCAUACAUGGUGGCCGUCCCUAUAAAAUUUGAAGAACCUAUAUAUGGCAAUAAGAACACAGAUUUCACAACUUUUGUGACACCAGGAGCUGUUUUGAG